UGGAUACACACACACACACAAACACACUGAACACACACACACUGACACACAUAAACACUGAAACACACAAUUGACAAACACACACUGGACACUCACACGUGUUAAAUCAGUUUCUGGACCACAGGUUCUAGAACAGCUUCUAUCCCAGUUCUAUCUGCCUGUUAAAUCAGUUUCUGGACCACAGGUUCUAGAACAGCUUCUAUCCCAGUUCUAUCUGCCUGUUAAAUCAGUUUCUGGACCACAGGUUCUAGAACAGCUUCUAUCCCAGUUCUAUCUGUCUGUUAAAUCAGUUUCUGGACCACAGGUUCUAGAACAGCUUCUAUCCCAGUUCUAUCUGUCUGUUAAAUCAGUUUCUGGACCACAGGUUCUAGAACAGCUUCUAUCCCAGUUCUAUCUGCCUGUUAAAUCAGUUUCUGGAUCACAGGUUCUAGAACAGCUUCUAUCCCAGUUCUAUCUGCCUGUUAAAUCAGUUUCUGGACCACAGGUUCUAGAACAGCUUCUAUCCCAGUUCUAUCUGCCUGUUAAAUCAGUUUCUGGACCACAGGUUCUAGAACAGCUUCUAUCCCAGUUCUAUCUGCCUGUUAAAUCAGUUUCUGGACCACAGGUUCUAGAACAGCUUCUAUCCCAGUUCUAUCUGCCUGUUAAAUCAGUUUCUGGACCACAGGUUCUAGAACAGCUUCUAUCCCAGUUCUAUCUGUCUGUUAAAUCAGUUUCUGGACCACAGGUUCUAGAACAGCUUCUAUCCCAGUUCUAUCUGCCUGUUAAAUCAGUUUCUGGACCACAGGUUCUAGAACAGCUUCUAUCCCAGUUCUAUCUGCCUGUUAAAUCAUCAACCUAAACUGUUGUCAUCAGACUAUUACAACAUGACUGAACUUUUGGUUCCUUUUCUGAUCUUUUAC
rnacentral:lncRNA from 1 species